CUGAAGAGUUUGAUCAUGGCUCAGAUUGAACGCUGGCGGCAGGCUUAACACAUGCAAGUCGAGCGGUAACAGAUCUAGCUUGCUAGAUGCUGACGAGCGGCGGACGGGUGAGUAAUGCAUAGGAAACUGCCCAGUAGUGGGGGAUAGCCCGGGGAAACCCGGAUUAAUACCGCGUACGCCCUUCGGGGGAAAGCAGGGGAUCUUCGGACCUUGCGCUAUUGGAUGUGCCUAUGUCGGAUUAGCUAGUUGGUGGGGUAAAGGCCUACCAAGGCGACGAUCUUUAGCUGGUCUGAGAGGAUGAUCAGCCACAUCGGGACUGAGACACGGCCCGAACUCCUACGGGAGGCAGCAGUGGGGAAUAUUGCACAAUGG
rnacentral:rRNA from 1 species